AAUGUGCGAGCCACAGCUGGGCGAUCUAAGAAAAUGAUGGGUGAACUGAAAAAUCUCAAAUCCAAAAUGUACGGAAUCGAGAACGACCUGAAACAUUUAUGAUCCCCUUUCUGUGAUAUUAGGCUGUGAGGACCAUUCAUAUCCCAAAAGAUUGUAGAUAUCAAAUUCUUCAACUUGGGAAUGAUUUGAAAGGAGGUGAGAUAGGAUCAUCAUUUUUUUUACGGAAGGCCAGAACAUUUUUCUUUUUAUUUAACAUCCAAUGCUCCUGGAAGUUUUGGACCACGGUGGUAAAACUGACUUUACCAAUAGUAAUCUGUUGAGAACAAAAAAACUUCAGUUUAUACAUUUUAAAAGUGUAAACGUGUAUAAAUAGGCUGGUUUAAUUAAUUAGGUUAAUUGAGGACAAUACUAGAUCCUGCCUGGUGUGCUAGUUUUUAAGGAAUCUGUAGACAAUAUGUAGGAGAAGUAAGAUAAUUUAACACCCAUCAAGGAGUCUCAAUUUCGAUGUGAUAUGAUUUAUACUUUGUAUUCAUUAUUUAUAUGUUGUAGAAUAUAUUUGAAAUAAAUAAAAAAGAAAGU
rnacentral:misc_RNA from 1 species